rnacentral:rRNA from 1 species
CCGUUAAUCAAGAACGAAAGUUAGAGGUUCGAAGGCGAUCAGAUACCGCCCUAGUUCUAACCAUAAACGAUGCCAGCCAGCGAUCCGCCGAAGUUCCUCCGAUGACUCGGCGGGCAGCUUCCGGGAAACCAAAGCUUUUGGGUUCCGGGGGAAGUAUGGUUGCAAAGCUGAAACUUAAAGGAAUUGACGGAAGGGCACCACCAGGAGUGGAGCCUGCGGCUUAAUUUGACUCAACACGGGAAACCUCACCAGGCCCGGACACCGGAAGGAUUGACAGAUUGAGAGCUCUUUCUUGAUUCGGUGGGUGGUGGUGCAUGGCCGUUCUUAGUUGGUGGAGCGAUUUGUCUGGUUAAUUCCGGUAACGAACGAGACUCUAGCCUGCUAAAUAGACGAUUUCCGGUAUCCACAAUAGUGCUACCGGCGAAAUCAAUAUCUUCUUAGAGGGACAGGCGGCUUUCAGCCGCACGAAACUGAGCAAUAACAGGUCUGUGAUGCCCUUAGAUGUCCUGGGCCGCACGCGCGCUACACUGAAGGAAUCAGCGUGUACACCCUGGCCGAAAGGCUCGGGCAACCCGUUGAACCUCCUUCGUGCUAGGGAUUGGGGCUUGCAAUUGUUCCCCAUGAACGAGGAAUUCCCAGUAAGCGCGAGUCAUAAGCUCGCGUUGAUUACGUCCCUGCCCUUUGUACACACCGCCCGUCGCUACUACCGAUUGAAUGAUUUAGUGAGGUCUUCGGACUGGUGCGCGGCGGCCGCCUGCGCGGCCGCCGAUGCCACCGGGAAGAUGACCGAACUUGAUCAUUUAGAGGAAGUAAAAGUCGUAACAA